GAUGAACGCUGGCGGCGUGCUUAACACAUGCAAGUCGAACGAUGAAGCCCAGCUUGCUGGGUGGAUUAGUGGCGAACGGGUGAGUAACACGUGAGUAACCUGCCCUUGACUCUGGGAUAAGCCCGGGAAACUGGGUCUAAUACCGGAUAGGAGCGCCUGUCGCAUGACGGGUGUUGGAAAGAUUUUUCGGUCAUGGAUGGACUCGCGGCCUAUCAGCUUGUUGGUGAGGUAAUGGCUCACCAAGGCGACGACGGGUAGCCGGCCUGAGAGGGUGACCGGCCACACUGGGACUGAGACACGGCCCAGACUCCUACGGGAGGCAGCAGUGGGGAAUAUUGCACAAUGGGCGGAAGCCUGAUGCAGCGACGCCGCGUGAGGGAUGACGGCCUUCGGGUUGUAAACC
rnacentral:rRNA from 1 species